UACGUAGGGUGCAAGCGUUAAUCGGAAUUACUGGGCGUAAAGCGUGCGCAGGCGGUUUUGUAAGUCUGAUGUGAAAUCCCCGGGCUCAACCUGGGAACUGCAUUUGUGACUGCAUCGCUGGAGUGCGGCAGAGGGGGAUGGAAUUCCGCGUGUAGCAGUGAAAUGCGUAGAGAUGUGGAGGAAUACCGAUGGCGAAGGCAGCCCCCUGGGAUAACACUGACGCUCAUGCACGAAAGCGUGGGGAGCAAACAGG
rnacentral:rRNA from 1 species